rnacentral:sRNA from 1 species
GGAUAAGAACUGAUCAUGACUGUUGGAUAUUGAGAUCAUGUUGUGGGUUCUAACAGAGUAGUGCUUGUAAGUAACGACGGUUGGAGUAUUUAAAAAGGCUAUCUUUCUUGGCUUUUGCAUAUGGGAUGCAUUUCUGUUGACGGGGCAUGCACUGCAAUCAGUCCGGCUCUCAACUUUUCAUGGUCAACAACCUGACGACACAAUUGUGUGACUAGAGAAGCGUGUUAGUGGGUAGAAGUUCAAAUUUUACCCGUGCUAAGUUGUGUUGGUUGAUAAAUGAUUGUUUUUUUUUUCUCAAAUAAGACUGUUAGUUUGUUGCCGUCUUGCAGACUUGUACUUUUAUCAUCCCCCUGCAUUAGGAAAGGGUGAAUAAACAUCUGUAGUAAUACAUAAAAUGAAUAAUCUUUUCAGGGGUUUCGUUC